AUUGAACGCUGGCGGUAUGCUUAACACAUGCAAGUCGAACGGUAACAGGCCUUCGGGCGCUGACGAGUGGCGGACGGGUGAGUAACGCGUAGGAAUCUGCCUCAUAGUGGGGGACAACGUGUGGAAACGCACGCUAAUACCGCAUACGCCCUACGGGGGAAAGCGGGGGACCUUUGGGCCUCGCGCUAUGAGAUGAGCCUGCGUUAGAUUAGCUAGUUGGUAGGGUAAAGGCCUACCAAGGCGACGAUCUAUAGCUGGUCUGAGAGGACGAUCAGCCACACUGGGACUGAGACACGGCCCAGACUCCUACGGGAGGCAGCAGUGGGGAAUAUUGGACAAUGGGCGCAAGCCUGAUCCAGCAAUACCGCGUGUGUGAAGAAGGCCCUAGGGUUGUAAAGCACUUUCAAUAGGGAGGAAAACCUGCCGGUCAAUACCCGGUAGCUUGACAUUACCUAUAGAAGAAGCACCGGCUAACUCCGUGCCAGCAGCCGCGGUAAAAC
rnacentral:rRNA from 1 species